rnacentral:tRNA from 1 species
GUCCCUGUAGCGCAAUGGAUAACGCGUUGUACUUCUAAUUCAAAAGCUGUGGGUUCGAAUCCCACCUGGGAUG